GAUGAACGCUGGCGGCGUGCCUAAUACAUGCAAGUCGAGCGAACGGACGAGAAGCUUGCUUCUCUGAUGUUAGCCGCGGACGGGUGAGUAACACGUGGAUACCCUACCUAUCAUACUGGGAUAACUACGGGAAACCGGAGCUAAUACCGGAUAAUCUUUUGAACCGCGUUGUUCAAAAGUGAAAUACGGUCUUGCUGGCACUUAUAGAUGGAUACGGGCUGCAUUAGCUAGUUGUUGAGGUAACGGCUUACCAAGGCAACGAUGCAUAGCCGACGUGAGAGGGUGAUAGGCGACACUGGAACGGAGACGCGGUCCAGACUCCUACGGGAGGCAGCAGUAGGGAAUCGGACGCAAUGGGCGAAAGCCUGGCGGAGCAACGCCGCGUGAGUGAUGAAGGCGUUCGGAUCGUAAAACUCUGUUAUUAGGGAAGAACAGAUGUGUAAGUAACUGUGCACAUCGUGACGGUACCGAAUCAGAAAGCCACGGCUAACUACGUG
rnacentral:rRNA from 1 species